rnacentral:rRNA from 1 species
UACGGGGGGAGCAAGCGUUGUUCGGAUUUACUGGGCGUAAAGGGCGCGUAGGCGGCGCGACAAGUCACUUGUGAAAUCUCCGGGCUUAACCCGGAGCGGCCAAGUGAUACUGUAGUGCUAGAGUGCGGAAGGGGCUACUGGAAUUCCUGGUGUAGCGGUGGAAUGCGCAGAUAUCAGGAGGAACACCAAUAGCGAAGGCAGCUCGCUGGGACGGUACUGACGCUGAGGCGCGAAAGCGUGGGGAGCGAACAGG